CUCUCUCUCUCACCCCUCUUGUUGCAUCUCUCAGGAAGCUCUCUAAUCUUGCGAUUCUCUCUCUCACCCCUAGCGUUUUGCUCUGCUCACGAAGGUUGCGGCCUGCACCGCGAAGGGUCUCUCUCUACGGCUGGAAGGUUUCUCUGCUCAAAAGGUAUGUUUGAGAGCUGAAGGUCGUGGGUCGCUGGUUGCAUCUCUCUCGCGAAAUUCGUGGGUUGCAUCUCUCUCACGAAGUUUGUGGGUUGCUCUGUUCACGAAGGUCUCAGUGCUCACGAGGAAUGUUUCAAAGCUAAACCUUUAUUUGACCUGCGAAUGCUAGUAUGCUGUUAGGUGUCUGAUUCUCAGAUUCACCGGACCUCCAUCACAACAGACCCAAGAGCGAAGAUUGAGGAUCCUUUUCAGAACCCAAUCGGUGGAGAAGGGUAAAAAACGAAAGAGAGAAAAGAAGAAAGGAGAAGAAAAGGUGGAAGGAAAAGAGUUAGACGCAGAGACUUGUGAGUUUUGUUAUCUGGUGACUUUAGCACAAUUAAACUUCACACAGAAGACACGUUAUGAAAAAUGAGCACGGGGAUGACAAAUUCAGAUAUUGCACGAGGAGAAGAAAUCAAACUCCAGGCUAAUGAAGCAUUUAUAGGUAAAUUAUUGUUUUAUGCUUGUACCUACGCAUUUCUUGGGUGAAAUUAUAUUUGUGAAUCUGGAGUGCCGAUACUUGAAGCUUGCUUAACUGGACAAAGUGUUCAUCUCUGGCAAUUUUACUCGAAUUCAGUAUCACGAUCCACCGAUAGUGGUACUAAGUCCUGUGCUGAAUCAUUGCUUUCAUUUCUCCCA